rnacentral:rRNA from 1 species
GUAAGUUUGAUCCUGGCUCAGAAUAAACGCUGGCGGCGUGCCUAACACAUGCAAGUCGAACGAGAAAGCCCGAUUUCGGUUGGGCGAGUAAAGUGGCGCACGGGUGAGUAACGCGUAGGUAACCUGCCCCUGUGUUCGGGAUAACAGUGCGAAAGCGCUGCUAAUACCGGAUGUGGCCAUCGGACGGUGGUUCGGUGGUCAAAGUCGGCCUCUCAAAGAAGCUGACGCGCGGGGAUGGGCCUGCGUCCUAUCAGCUAGUUGGUAGGGUAACGGCCUACCAAGGCUUCGACGGGUAGCUGGUCUGAGAGGAUGAUCAGCCACACUGGCACUGAAACACGGGCCAGACUCCUACGGGAGGCAGCAGUGAGGAAUUUUGCGCAAUGGCCGCAAGGCUGACGCAGCAACGCCGCGUGGGUGAAGAAGGCCUUCGGGUCGUAAAGCCCUGUCAGGUGGGAAGAAUGGCCGGGGGAUUAAUAGUUUCCCGGAUUGACGGUACCACCAGAGGAAGCACCGGCUAACUCCGUGCCAGCAGCCGCGGUAAUACGGAGGGUGCAAGCGUUAUUCGGAAUUACUGGGCGUAAAGCGCGUGCAGGCGGGUAUGCAAGUCUGAUGUGAAAGCCCCGGGCUCAACCUGGGAAGUGCAUUGGAAACUGCAUAUCUUGAGUGCUGGAGAGGAAGGGGGAAUUCCCGGUGUAGAGGUGAAAUUCGUAGAGAUCGGGAGGAAUACCAGUGGCGAAGGCGCCCUUCUGGACGGCAACUGACGCUGAGACGCGAAAGCGUGGGGAGCAAACAGGAUUAGAUACCCUGGUAGUCCACGCUGUAAACGAUGAGCACUAGGUGUAGCGGGUACUCAUUCCUGCUGUGCCGCAGCUAACGCGUUAAGUGCUCCGCCUGGGGAUUACGGUCGCAAGACUAAAACUCAAAGGAAUUGACGGA